UACGUAGGGUGCAAGCGUUAAUCGGAAUUACUGGGCGUAAAGCGUGCGCAGGCGGUUGUGUAAGACAGAUGUGAAAUCCCCGGGCUCAACCUGGGAACUGCAUUUGUGACUGCACGGCUGGAGUGCGGCAGAGGGGGAUGGAAUUCCGCGUGUAGCAGUGAAAUGCGUAGAGAUGCGGAGGAACACCGAUGGCGAAGGCAGCCCCCUGGGCUGACACUGACGCUCAGGCACGAAAGCGUGGGGAGCAAACAGG
rnacentral:rRNA from 1 species